AUUGAACGCUGGCGGCAUGCCUUACACAUGCAAGUCGAACGGCAGCACGGGUGCUUGCACCUGGUGGCGAGUGGCGAACGGGUGAGUAAUACAUCGGAACAUGUCCUGUAGUGGGGGAUAGCCCGGCGAAAGCCGGAUUAAUACCGCAUACGAUCCACGGAUGAAAGCGGGGGACCUUCGGGCCUCGCGCUAUAGGGUUGGCCGAUGGCUGAUUAGCUAGUUGGUGGGGUAAAGGCCUACCAAGGCGACGAUCAGUAGCUGGUCUGAGAGGACGACCAGCCACACUGGGAUUGAGACACGGCCCAGACUCCUACGGGAGGCAGCAGUGGGGAAUUUUGGACAAUGGGCGAAAGCCUGAUCCAGCAAUGCCGCGUGUGUGAAGAAGGCCUUCGGGUUGUAAAGCACUUUUGUCCGGAAAGAAAUCCUUGGCUCUAAUACAGUCGGGGGAUGACGGUACCGGAAGAAUAAGCACCGGCUAACUACGUG
rnacentral:rRNA from 1 species